CACCGGAUCCCAUCAGAACUCCGAAGUUAAGCGUGCUUGGGCAAGAGUAGUACUAGGAUGGGUGACCUCCUGGGAAGUCCUCGUGUUGCACCCCU
rnacentral:rRNA from 1 species